rnacentral:rRNA from 1 species
UAGGGAAUCUUCCACAAUGGACGAAAGUCUGAUGGAGCAACGCCGCGUAAGUGAAGAAGGGUUUCGGCUCGUAAAACUCUGUUGUUAAAGAAGAACAUAUCUGAGAGUAACUGUUCAGGUAUUGACGGUAUUUAACCAGAAAGCCACGGCUAACUACGUGCCAG